GUUGCCGAAAAGUGUUGAUAUAAAAGAUGGCUACUGACAAUAAACGGCAGUGAGCACAGAGUCAGGUUCCAAGCGUUUUAUUGAACAUAAUGUGGGCAAAGCUCUCUCCGAAAUGGUAGUUGAAACUCUUUCUGACAAGGAAUUCUGUCAGAUGCUCCCAGUGGACCCUCACAAUGCGUUUGGGUGUGCCAGGUCGGACCGGGACCCACCUCCACCAACGGAGCCAACACACCACCAGCUUCUACGCUCCGGCCAAAUCAGCCCGCCUACAGCAGCAGUCGCUCCACAAGUCUCCUCAAAAGCUGUUCUACAUACCCCAUCAGUGGCCAGGACCUAAGACUGAGGUGAAGGUUCACCUUCCAACGAGACAAUGACCCAAAGCACACAGCCAAGAAAAUGAAGGAGUGGGUCCAGGACAACUCUGUGAAGGUCCAAACAAAGCCUUGAACCCGACCAACUCUGAAGAGAUCUGAAACCGACGCUCCCAGUGCAGCCUGAUGGAGCUUGAGAGCCCAUUGGUGUCAGCUCAGUGGGGAUCAGAGGGAGAUGAAGAGAGAAGGAGCAGGAGGAGGAGAAGAGGUGGGUGGGUAUGGAGCUGUGACAGGUGAGCUAAUGGUUUUAGGGGAGAAAGAGAUGAGGGCAACAGCUGUGAUCUUUACACAGAUUACAGAGGGACAAUUUAUUAAAAAGAAUGGAUGCAGAGUAAAUUAAGUGACCUAAAACCCCGGAGUCUCUGCGCCCUCGUGCGUGUGUGCAUGCGUGCGUGCGUGCGUGCGUG